CUUCUUUCUCACAUUUUGGUUCUAAGUAGAGGAAGAGUAAAAACUAUUUCCAGUUCUAGAAGACCUUUUUCUCUUUAACUUCCUUUCCAUUUUGAUUUUCACAUGCACCGUAUCUAUGAAUUUGACAUAGUGCUGAAGCUCAAUUAUGUUGGCAAUCUCUUGAUUUAAACCUGCAAAAAAUCCUAUCAUGGUGGCAUCAUGAUCCUCUUCAAGGUUCGCACGGAUCAUUGUAAUUUCCAUUUCCCUAUGGUAAUCCUCC
rnacentral:lncRNA from 1 species